UACAGAGGGUGCAAGCGUUAAUCGGAGUUACUGGGCGUAAAGGGCGCGUAGGCGGUUGUUUAAGUGAGAUGUGAAAUCCCUGGGCUUAACCUAGGAACUGCAUCUCAUACUGAAUGACUAGAGUAUUGUAGAGGGUAGUGGAAUUUCCGGUGUAGCGGUGAAAUGCGUAGAGAUCGGAAGGAACACUAGUGGCGAAGGCGACUUUCUGGUCUGUAACUGACACUGAGGCGCGAAAGCGUGGGGAGCAAACAGG
rnacentral:rRNA from 1 species